GAGCAAUUAGGAGGUUUGUGUUGUGUUCUGCUGCUUUUUAUCUGUUAGAGGCUGGUUCUGUUGAGUGACAGCAUGGGGAGCAACUUCAGCAUGCAGACCUGCUGUGGGAGUUGUAAGAAGCAGGAGGAAGCAUAUGAAGAGACUAGUGAGACCAAGCCAAUUCUGCACACCUCAGGGGGCACACCAAUGCACACUGAUACGCAGCCUCCCCCACCAGCCCUGGAAGCCUCUGAAAGAAUCUCUGAAGAAGCUCAGUCACUCUGCUGGGACCAACAGCUGUCAGCUGAUAUUGCAGAGGGGAGCACGGAGACCUGCUGUCCUGCAGAUCCCAUGGGAAUGAUCGAGGAAUGGAAGACAGCCUGGAGCUCUGUGGAUUUCUUGGUGACAUCCUCAGGCAGGGAGACCAAAGAAGAGGCUGAAGUCCUGGAUCAGCAAGAAGGAGAGAAAGCAUGUAAUGCAGAAGAGAAAAUAAAACCUACUCCUUAUGAUGAGGCCCAGCUGGCUAUGCACACAGCUCAGGAUCUGAAGCUUGUUGCAGAUAUAGGACAGCCUGCUGAACAGGCUGGGGCUGGCAGUGAGGAUGACCAACAUGCUGAAAUAACUCCCCAAGAAAUAAAUAAUCUCGAGCUCAUGGAAAGCACAUGGGAAACUGCAGCUGCUCAAGACUUUGAGAUAGAGCCUCCCAUGGAGACUGGUGAGAGUUUCACAGGAUGGAACUUGCCACUCUGUGUUGUGCAGAAGAUGGCAAAAGAGGCUGAGACCGACCUUCCUGCUGGGCACACAGAGCAGGCAGACAGGGCUGGCCUUGCUGAAGGAAGUACUGAACUCACUGAGAGUGUCCAGAUCACACCUCUUGCAAAGGCUGCCUCUCUAAUGAAUGUGCAGGCUGCAGAGGAGACUGAGAAUGCAGUGGAUCCUUCAGAAGCCAUAGUGAAUGCUGUGGCUGAGAUGCACUCUGUUUCUGCAGUGCCUCAGGAAACCCUGUAUCCAGGAGGGCAGACUCCAGAGCCAGCCAACCAGCUGCUUGACUUACAGCAAGAGGCUCAGUCUGGUGUGCCAACUGCACGAGAGGUGCAGAGCCAAAGCUGUGCAGAACCUGCUGAACUCGGUGAGGUUUUAAGUGAUGAAGACCAGGAAGUCCUUUGUGAUACAGCAGACAGUGAGGAGAGCAGGGAAUGUGAUCUGGAAACUCCAGCAGAUGAGGCAGAGCCACAGGAGAGUGUUGUGCAACAAAUGCUGCAGCUUCCAGCAGAACUGGCUUGUGCUCAGGUGCCUGCAGAGGAAGAAGCUGAGUUUCUCAGUGUGGUACCCUUGCUGUAUGAAGUGCCUGGGAGUGGAGGAGAUGGACAGGUUGAAAAUGCUGAAGCUUGAGAGAAGUGAGGAUGGAUGGGUUGGUAUUCAGUGCCUUUGGGAAUUUCAGCCCCCCAAAAAAAGCAAUUAGCCUUUUGAACCCAGUGUUUGUUUUUCUUUUUCAAGUGUGUCCUGGACUUCAGAAAGUGACUUUGCUAAAGAGAUGUGUGAGGUGUGCAAUAGAUGUUUCUAGAAAUUCUCCUGGGUUAUAGCUUGGUUGUACUUCUGUUUAGUAGCUGAUUUGCAGGAGAUCUUGCUUUACUGGGAGAGGAGUGAUUCACUUCAAUAGUGGUUUCACUGAAGGAAUGCUGAGCACUGCAUCCCCCAGUGUGGUACAGUGAUAGGAGGUUCCAGUGCAAAGUCUUACAAGUCUGUGGACAGGACAGACAAAAGCUCCUCUAACCCAGCACAGUCAGAUGCCUUCUGUAGCUCACAGACACCGAAUCAAACCUUCCAACCACCUCCUUUUCUACUUGCACAUUUGGUGACUGUUACUUUGGAAGCAUUGAACGUGCUUUCAUGAGUCAAUGAAAUAAUACUCUGGUUUGUUCUUUGUAUUUCUGGUGAUAGCUGAUACAAUCUGUACUCUGUGCUCAUACAAUCUGUACUCUGUGCAGAACUUAAAGAAACAAAUGUAGUCUUGAUCAGAAUGCAUAAGUCAGUGUAUUGCGGUUUAAAUCUACUGACUUUUAAUGUUCAUGACUUUAUGACACCAAUAAAAUAUUUUAAGAUCAUG
rnacentral:lncRNA from 7 species